rnacentral:rRNA from 1 species
UACGUAGGGGGCAAGCGUUGUCCGGAAUCAUUGGGCGUAAAGAGCGUGUAGGCGGCCCGGUAAGUCCGCUGUGAAAGUCCAGGGCUUAACCCUGGGCUUGCAGUGGAUACGGGCAGACUAGAGGCAGGUAGGGGAGAAUGGAAUUCCCGGUGUAGCGGUGAAAUGCGCAGAUAUCGGGAGGAACACCAGUGGCGAAGGCGGCUUCCUGGCCUGUUCUUGACGCUGAGGCGCGAAAGCUAGGGUAGCAAACGGG